GAUGAACGCUAGCUACAGGCUUAACACAUGCAAGUCGAGGGGAAACGGCAUUGAGUGCUUGCACUCUUUGGACGUCGACCGGCGCACGGGUGAGUAACGCGUAUCCAACCUUCCCAUUACUGUGGGAUAACCUGCCGAAAUGCAGACUAAUACCGCAUAGUCUUCGAUGACGGCAUCAGAUUUGAAGUAAAGAUUUAUCGGUAAUGGAUGGGGAUGCGUCUGAUUAGCUUGUUGGCGGGGUAACGGCCCACCAAGGCGACGAUCAGUAGGGGUUCUGAGAGGAAGGUCCCCCACAUUGGAACUGAGACACGGUCCAAACUCCUACGGGAGGCAGCAGUGAGGAAUAUUGGUCAAUGGACGGAAGUCUGAACCAGCCAAGUAGCGUGCAGGAUGACGGCCCUAUGGGUUGUAAACUGCUUUUGUAUGGGGAUAAAGUUAGGGACGUGUCCCUAUUUGCAGGUACCAUACGAAUAAGGACCGGCUAAUUCCGUG
rnacentral:rRNA from 1 species